rnacentral:rRNA from 1 species
GUGCCUACGGGGGGCAGCAGUGAGGAAUAUUGGUCAAUGGGCGGGAGCCUGAACCAGCCAAGUCGCGUGAGGGAAGACGGUCCUAUGGAUUGUAAACCUCUUUAGGCGGGGAGCAAUGCCGGGCACGCGUGCCCGGAGGGAGAGUACCCGCAGAAUAAGCAUCGGCUAACUCCGUGCCAGCAGCCGCGGUAAUACGUAGGUGGCGAGCGUUAUCCGGAAUGAUUGGGCGUAAAGGGUGCGUAGGCGGCCUGCUAAGUCUGGAGUGAAAGGUACCGGCUCAACCGGUACAGGCUCUGGAAACUGGG